AGAGUUUGAUCCUGGCUCAGAGCGAACGCUGGCGGCAGGCCUAACACAUGCAAGUCGAACGGACUCUUCGGAGUUAGUGGCGGACGGGUGAGUAACACGUGGGAACGUGCCUUUAGGUUCGGAAUAGCUCCUGGAAACGGGUGGUAAUGCCGAAUGUGCCCUUCGGGGGAAAGAUUUAUCGCCUUUAGAGCGGCCCGCGUCUGAUUAGCUAGUUGGUGAGGUAAUGGCUCACCAAGGCGACGAUCAGUAGCUGGUCUGAGAGGAUGACCAGCCACAUUGGGACUGAGACACGGCCCAAACUCCUACGGGAGGCAGCAGUGGGGAAUCUUGCGCAAUGGGCGAAAGCCUGACGCAGCCAUGCCGCGUGAAUGAUGAAGGUCUUAGGAUUGUAAAAUUCUUUCACCGGGGACGAUAAUGACGGUACCCGGAGAAGAAGCCCCGGCUAACUUCGUGCCAGCAGCCGCGGUAAUACGAAGGGGGCUAGCGUUGCUCGGAAUUACUGGGCGUAAAGGGCGCGUAGGCGGACAUUUAAGUCAGGGGUGAAAUCCCAGAGCUCAACUCUGGAACUGCCUUUGAUACUGGGUGUCUUGAGUGUGAGAGAGGUAUGUGGAACUCCGAGUGUAGAGGUGAAAUUCGUAGAUAUUCGGAAGAACACCAGUGGCGAAGGCGACAUACUGGCUCAUUACUGACGCUGAGGCGCGAAAGCGUGGGGAGCAAACAGGAUUAGAUACCCUGGUAGUCCACGCCGUAAACGAUGAUUGCUAGUUGUCGGGCUGCAUGCAGUUCGGUGACGCAGCUAA
rnacentral:rRNA from 1 species